rnacentral:pre_miRNA from 1 species
GGCCUCCCUCUUUGGGGCGAUUGAUCGUGGGGCCCCCCCAUCAAUCGCCCUGCAGAGGGUAGCC